rnacentral:rRNA from 1 species
ACUCCUACGGGAGGCAGCAGUGGGGAAUUUUGGACAAUGGGCGAAAGCCUGAUCCAGCAAUGCCGCGUGAGUGAAGAAGGCCUUCGGGUUGUAAAGCUCUUUUGUCAGGGAAGAAACGGUGAGAGCUAAUAUCUCUUGCUAAUGACGGUACCUGAAGAAUAAGCACCGGCUAACUACGUGCCAGCAGCCGCGGUAAUACGUAGGGUGCAAGCGUUAAUCGGAAUUACUGGGCGUAAAGCGUGCGCAGGCGGUUUUGUAAGUCUGAUGUGAAAUCCCCGGGCUCAACCUGGGAAUUGCAUUGGAGACUGCAAGGCUAGAAUCUGGCAGAGGGGGGUAGAAUUCCACGUGUAGCAGUGAAAUGCGUAGAUAUGUGGAGGAACACCGAUGGCGAAGGCAGCCCCCUGGGUCAAGAUUGACGCUCAUGCACGAAAGCGUGGGGAGCAAACAGGAUUAGAUACCCUUGUAGUCCC